rnacentral:rRNA from 1 species
ACUUGGGAACUGCGUUUUGAACUGNUAAGCUAGAGUAUGUCAGAGGGGGGUAGAAUUCCACGUGUAGCAGUGAAAUGCGUAGAGAUGUGGAGGAAUACCGAUGGCGAAGGCAGCCCCCUGGGAUAAUACUGACGUUCAUGCUCGAAAGCGUGGGUAGCAAACAGGAUUAGAUACCCUGGUAGUCCACGCCCUAAACGAUGUCAAUUAGCCGUUGGGGCACUUGAUGCCUUAGUAGCGAAGCUAACGCGUGAAAUUGACCGCCUGGGGAGUACGGUCGCAAGAUUAAAACUCAAAGGAAUUGACGGGGACCCGCACAAGCGGUGGAUGAUGUGGAUUAAUUCGAUGCAACGCGAAGAACCUUACCUGGUCUUGACAUGUACGGAAUCUUCCAGAGACGGAAGAGUGCCUUCGGGAGCCGUAACACAGGUGCUGCAUGGCUGUCGUCAGCUCGUGUCGUGAGAUGUUGGGUUAAGUCCCGCAACGAGCGCAACCCUUGUCAUUAGUUGCAACCAUUUAGUUGGGCACUCUAAUGAGACUGCCGGUGACAAACCGGAGGAAGGUGGGGAUGACGUCAAGUCCUCAUGGCCCUUAUGACCAGGGCUUCACACGUCAUACAAUGGUCGGUACAGAGGGUAGCCAAGCCGCGAGGUGGAGCCAAUCUCAGAAAACCGAUCGUAGUCCGGAUUGCACUCUGCAACUCGAGUGCAUGAAGUCGGAAUCGCUAGUAAUCGCAGGUCAGCAUACUGCGGUGAAUACGUUCCCGGGUCUUGUACACACCGCCCGUCACACCAUGGGAGUGGGGGAUACCAGAAGUAGGUAGGCUAACCGCAAGGAGNCCGCUU